rfam:Mastigocladus laminosus TT774 scaffold_34, whole genome shotgun sequence.
GUUGCAACUAAGUAUAAUCCCUACCAGGGAUUGAAAC